CAUGUACAGGAUAGGUAGGAGCCGUAGAAAUCGGAACGCUAGUUUCGAUGGAGGCGCUGGUGGGAUACUACCCCUGCGUUAUGGCCACUCUAACCCGCACCACUAAUCGUGGUGGGAGACAGUGUCAGAUGGGCAGUUUGACUGGGGCGGUCGCCUCCUAAAAGGUAACGGAGGCGCCCAAAGGUUCCCUCAGAAUGGUUGGAAAUCAUUCGAAGAGUGUAAAGGCAGAAGGGAGCUUGACUGCGAGACCAACAAGUCGAGCAGGGACGAAAGUCGGGCUUAGUGAUCCGGUGGUUCCGCAUGGAAGGGCCAUCGCUCAACGGAUAAAAGCUACCCUGGGGAUAACAGGCUUAUCUCCCCCAAGAGUCCACAUCGACGGGGAGGUUUGGCACCUCGAUGUCGGCUCGUCGCAUCCUGGGGCUGUAGUCGGUCCCAAGGGUUGGGCUGUUCGCCCAUUAAAGCGGCACGCGAGCUGGGUUCAGAA
rnacentral:rRNA from 1 species